rnacentral:rRNA from 1 species
AUUGAACGCUGGCGGCAUGCUUUACACAUGCAAGUCGAACGGCAGCACGGGUGCUUGCACCUGGUGGCGAGUGGCGAACGGGUGAGUAAUACAUCGGAACGUGCCUAUUAGUGGGGGAUAACGCUUCGAAAGGAGUGCUAAUACCGCAUACGUCCUGAGGGAGAAAGCGGGGGAUCUUCGGACCUCGUGCUAAUAGAGCGGCUGAUGGCUGAUUAGCUAGUUGGUGAGGUAAAGGCUCACCAAGGCGACGAUCAGUAGCGGGUCUUAGAGGACGAUCCGCCACACUGGGACUGAGACACGGCCCAGACUCCUACGGGAGGCAGCAGUGGGGAAUCUUGGACAAUGGGCGCAAGCCUGAUCCAGCAAUGCCGCGUGAGUGAAGAAGGCCUUCGG